rnacentral:rRNA from 1 species
GAUGAACGCUGGCGGCGUGCCUAAUACAUGCAAGUCGAGCGAACGGACGAGAAGCUUGCUUUUCUGAUGUUAGCGGCGGACGGGUGAGUAACACGUGGAUAACCUACCUAUAAGACUGGGAUAACUUCGGGAAACCGGAGCUAAUACCGGAUAAUAUUUUGAACCGCAUGGUUCAAAAGUGAAAGACGGUCUUGCUGUCACUUAUAGAUGGAUCCGCGCUGCAUUAGCUAGUUGGUAAGGUAACGGCUUACCAAGGCAACGAUGCACAGCCGACCUGAGAGGGUGAUCGGCCACACUGGAACUGAGACACGGUCCAGACUCCUACGGGAGGCAGCAGUAGGGAAUCUUCCGCAAUGGGCGAAAGCCUGACGGAGCAACGCCGCGUGAGUGAUGAAGGUCUUCGGAUCGUAAAACUCUGUUAUUAGGGAAGAACAUAUGUGUAAGUAACUGUGCACAUCUUGACGGUACCUAAUCAGAAAGCCACGGCUAACUACGUG